rnacentral:rRNA from 1 species
AACGAACGCUGGCGGCAUGCCUAACACAUGCAAGUCGAACGAGACCUUCGGGUCUAGUGGCGCACGGGUUCGUAACCCGUUGGAACCUACCCUUAGGUUCGGCAUAACUCCCCGAAAGGGGUACUAAUACCGGCUAAUGUCUUCGGACCAAAGAUUUAUCGCCUUUGGAUGGGCCCGCGUUGGAUUACCUUGUUGGUAGGGUAAAAGCCUCCCAAGGCGACGAUCCAUAGCUGGUCUGAGAGGAUGAUCAGCCACACUGGGACUGAGACACGGCCCAGACUCCUACGCGAGGCAGGAGUGGGGAAUAUUGGACAAUGGGCGAAAGCCUGAUCCAGCAAUGCCGGGUGAGUGAUGAAGGCCUUAGGGUUGUAAAGCUCUUUUACCCGGGAUGAUAAUGACAGUACCGGGAGAAUAAGCUCCGGCUAACUCCGUG